rnacentral:rRNA from 1 species
UUUGGAUGACUUGUGGUUAGCGGUGAAAUGCCAAUCGAACUCGGAGAUAGCUGGUUCUCCUCGAAAUAGCUUUAGGGCUAGCGUCGUGUUAGUAGCACAUGGGGGUAGAGCUCUGUAAAGGACUGGGGCGGGCAACUGUACCCACCCUUAACAAACUACGAAUACCAUGUGUGUAAUCACGGCAGUUAGAACAUCGGUGCUAAGAUCGGUGCUCAAAAGGGAAACAGCCCAGACCAUCAUCUAAGGUCCCUAAAUUAACGUUCAGUGGGAAACAAGGUGAGAUUUCUUAAACAGCUAGGAUGUUGGCUUAGAAGCAGCCAUUCAUUUAAAGAGUGCGUAACAGCUCACUAGUCAAGAGAUCUUGCGUGGAAAAUGUAACGGGGCUAAAACGUUAUACCGAAGAUAUGGAUGUCAGAUUUAUCUGGCGUGGUAGAGGAGCGUUCCUAUCAGCAGUGAAGUCGAAUCGGAAGGUUCGGUGGAGCGGUAGGAAGUGAGAAUGCUGGAAUGAGUAACCAUAAGAGAGGUGAGAAUCCUCUCGGCCGUAAGAGCAAGGUUUCCUGAGCCAUGGUAAUCAUCUCAGGGUUAGUCGGGCCUAAGCCGAGGCGCAGAGCGUAGGCGAUGGACAUCAGGUUAAUAUUCCUGAACCGGUUAAGUUUUGUACACUGUUCACGGGGAAGUAAUCGAAGCGGAUUCAUGGUUUAUCCGUCCAACCGAGCGGGAACGCAAAGGGAGUGAAAGUGAUUCUUCGGAGUCGCGAUUUUGGUGAAAGCCCUGGCUAGAAAAGCAGGUGUACGCGUGGACUUAGCCGCCCGUACCGCAAACCAACACAGGUGCUCGAGUCGAGUAGACUCAGGCUUACGAGCGAACCUUCGCUAAGGAACUCGGCAAUACAGCGACCGUAACUUCGGGAUAAGGUCUGCCCCCACUUCGGUGGAUAUCAGCCGCGUUCACUCAGUGAAUAUUAGGUUAAAGAGUACAUUUUUAAUCACAAAACGAAUUUUCUGAGAUAGAGCAAACGAAUUGUUCUUUUGAACGCGAACCUCUGACGUCUAACGAUGUGGGGGCCGCAGCAAAAGAGCCCACGGAACUGUUUAUCAAAAACACAGGUCUCUGCUAACACGAAAGUGGAUGUAUAGGGGCUGACUCCUGCCCAAUGCUGGAAGGUUAAGGGGAGCGCUUCACGGUGCGAACUGAAGCCCUAGUCAAUGGCGGCGGUAACUAUAACCGUCCUAAGGUAGCGAAAUUCCUUGUCAGGUAAGUUCUGACCCGCACGAAUGGAGUAAUCAUGUGGGCACUGUCUCAGCGAAGGACUCGGUGAAAGUGCAUUGGCGGUAAAGAUGCCGUCUGUCCAUACCAGGACGAGAAGACCCCAUGGAGCUUUACUACAGCUUUACAUUGACACGGGUUACA